GAAGAACUGAGUUCGUUCAUCAGUUUUGCCCAGUAAUAUUGAAAGCAUUGGCUCUAUGCAUUAUUUUGUAAAUCAGUCGUAUAAUCUCGGGAUAUUUUUUGAAGCCUGGUUUUGCUGGGAUUCCGCGGUUUUUUGAAAUGCCCGUCAACGAAAACAUUGCCAAAAAAUUGUCGUUGAAACACAAAUCAGCUCACUAAAUCGUUCAAACCUAGUAAUCGUUGAUGGGUGAAUUUGAAAUCGAAUUUGUGAAUCAUUUGACAAACAUGAGUGAAAAUAUAUCGCACGAAAAGUUUGCACUUCUCGAGCAAGAGGUGAAAAAUCUAAAAGAAACGUUAGAAGCUUUCACGGUGUCGUAAAAAAGGCCACAGAGAAGGCUCACAACAGAUUCAAUGUUUGGCGAUGAUGAAUUUUUUCCGAUCAAAACAUUCACCGAAAUGAAUACUUUUGAAGGAAGGCUAAAAAAUGAUAUAUCAUUUCGAAAGGAAUUAUUGAAAUCGCUAAUUUCAAACAUUGGAGGCACAACAGGAGAGGAGUGUCACAAAACAGUAGGGAACUAUGUGAUGGAACACUGUUUCGACGAACAUUUUUUGGCGAUGUUUUCGUUCACGGGCAUUUCAAAAAACCGCGGAAUCCCAGCAAAACCAGGCUUCAAAAAAUAUCCCGAGAUUAUACGACUGAUUUACAAAAUAAUGCAUAGAGCCGAUGCAUCAUACACCGUCAUCAGGCACGAUGCAUGGCUCCAGGAAUUUUUUCGCCACGCUAAAAACCGCGCUAAUAAACGUACAUUUAAUUGAAUAAAUUUCCCUUUGACAUUGUUGCAAAUUAUUCAUCAUUUUAUGAACAUUGAUAAUUUUGCAGAAUUAAAUGGAAAAAAUGUGUUUUUAAUUGAAUAAAAUUUGAAAAAAAUCACAGAAA